rnacentral:tRNA from 1 species
GUGCUAGUAGCUCAGCAGGAUAGAGCAAUGGCCUUCUAAGCCAUUUGUCGGGGGUUCGAAUCCCUUCUGGCACG